rnacentral:rRNA from 1 species
GAUGAACGCUGGCGGCGUGCCUAAUACAUGCAAGUCGAACGCGCAGCGAAAGGUGCUUGCACCUUUCAAGCGAGUGGCGAACGGGUGAGUAACACGUGGAUAACCUGCCUCAAGGCUGGGGAUAACAUUUGGAAACAGAUGCUAAUACCGAAUAAAACUUAGUAUCGCAUGAUACAAAGUUGAAAGGCGCUACGGCGUCACCUAGAGAUGGGUCCGCGGUGCAUUAGUAGUUGGUGGGGUAAAGGCUACCAAGACAAUGAUGCAUAGCCGAGUUGAGAGACUGAUCGGCCACAUUGGGACAGAGACACGGCCCAAACUCCUACGGGAGGCUGCAGUAGGGAAUCUUCCACAAUGGGCGAAAGCCUGAUGGAGCAACGCCGCGUGUGUGAUGAAGGCUUUAGGGUCGUAAAGCACUGUUGUAUGGGAAGAAACUGCUAGAAUAGGGAAUGAUUCUAGUUCGACGGUACCAUACCAGAAAGGACGGCUAAAUACGUG